rnacentral:rRNA from 1 species
AUUGAACGCUGGCGGCAGGCUUAACACAUGCAAGUCGAGCGGAGAUGAGGUGCUUGCACCUUAUCUUAGCGGCGGUCGGGUGAGUAAUGCUUAGGAAUCUGCCAUUUAGUGGGGGACAACAUUCCGAAAGGAAUGCUAAUACCGCAUACGUCCUACGGGAGAAAGCAGGGGAUCUUCGGACCUUGCGCUAAAUGAUGAGCCUAAGUCGGAUUAGCUAGUUGGUGGGGUAAAGGCCUACCAAGGCGACGAUCUGUAGCGGGUCUGAGAGGAUGAUCCGCCACACUGGGACUGAGACACGGCCCAGACUCCUACGGGAGGCAGCAGUGGGGAAUAUUGGACAAUGGGGGGAACCCUGAUCCAGCCAUGCCGCGUGUGUGAAGAAGGCCUUAUGGUUGUAAAGCACUUUAAGCGAGGAGGAGGCUACUGAGACUAAUACUCUUGGAUAGUGGACGUUACUCGCAGAAUAAGCACCGGCUAACUCUGUG